rnacentral:tRNA from 1 species
UCUAAUAUGGCAGAAUAGUGCAAUGAAUUUAAGCUUCAUAUAUAAAGUAUAACUUUUGUUAGAA